ACCUCUGUAGCUCAGUGGACAGAGCAGCGCGCUACGAACGCGAAGGUCCCAGGUUCGAAUCCUGGCAGGGGUGCCA
rnacentral:tRNA from 1 species